UACAGAGGCCCCAAGCAUUAUCCGGAAUCACUGGGCGUAAAGGGUGUCGAGGCGGUCGUAUUAGUCGUUCGUAAAACCUACGGGCUCAACCUGUAGUUCGCGAGCGAAACGGUACGACUCGAGGUCAGGAGAGGUGCGUGGAACUCACGGUGUAGGGGUGAAAUCCGUUGAUAUCGUGGGGAACACCAAAGGCGAAGGCAGCGCACUGGCCUGAAUCUGACGCUCACACACGAAAGCCAGGGGAGCGAACGGG
rnacentral:rRNA from 1 species